GGCAUUCCCCCCUUCUAGGCCUUUGGUGGACAGGGCUGGCCACCACAUUGCUCCUUUCUCCUGAAUCCAGAGGUGGCCUUGGGCACUCAUUGCUACAAGAGCAACAGAUACUUACCAGCACCCAGUCUGAGUGAGACACUCAAGCCUCUUUAUGGAUUAACAAGAAGAUUCUAGAAUGAGAAAACUGAGGCCCGGAGGAGUUAAGAAGAGGCCAAGUUCACAGAGCUAGGAAGUGGGGAGGAGAGAAUGUGACGUGGCUCUGGCUAACUCCAGGGCUUCUGGGUUUAACUGGAUGAUAACACAACACAGGAUGAUAAGGUCAUG
rnacentral:lncRNA from 1 species